AGUGAACGCUGGCGGUAGGCCUAACACAUGCAAGUCGAACGGCAGCACAGUAAGCUCUUGCUCUUACGGGUGGCGAGUGGCGGACGGGUGAGGAAUACAUCGGAAUCUACUUUUUCUUGGGGGAUAACGUAGGGAAACUUACGCUAAUACCUCAUACUUCCUACGGGUUAAAUCAGGGGAUCUUCGGACCUUUCGCGAUUGAAUUAGCCGAUGUCGGAUUAGCUAGUUUGCUUGGUAACGGCCUACCAAGGCAACGAUCCGUAGCCGAUCUGAGAGGAUGAUCGGUCACACGGGAACUGAGACACGGUCAAGACUCCUACGAGAGGCAGCAGACGGGAAUCUGCGGCAACGGUGGGAAGCCUGACACAGUGAGGCCGAGCGUGAGACAAAGGCCUUCGGUUCGUGAUGCCCGGUUUUGGGGUAAGAACAGAUGUGGCAUGAGACGUAGAGUGCGUGACGGUAAUGAAUAAAGAAGCACCGGCUAACUACGUG
rnacentral:rRNA from 1 species